rnacentral:rRNA from 1 species
CCUACGGGUGGCAGCAGUGAGGAAUAUUGGUCAAUGGACGAGAGUCUGAACCAGCCAAGUAGCGUGAAGGAUGACUGCCCUAUGGGUUGUAAACUUCUUUUAUAUGGGAAUACAAUGUUCCACGUGUGGGCUUUUGUAUGUACCAUAUGAAUAAGGAUCGGCUAACUCCGUGCCCGCAGCCGCGGUAAUACGGCGGAUCCGAGCGUUAUCCGGUUUUAUUGAGUUUAAAGGGAGCGUAGGUGGAUUGUUAAGUCAGUUUUGAAAGUUUGCGGUUCAACCGUAACAUUGCAGUUGAAACUGGCAGUCUGUAGUACAGUAGAGGUGGGCGGAAUUCGUGGUGUAGCGGUGAAAUGCUUAGAUAUCACGAAGAACUCCGAUUGCGAAGGCAGUUCACUGGACUGCAACUGACACUGAGGCUCGAAAGUGUGGGUAUCAAACAGGAUUAGAUACCCUUGUAGUC